rnacentral:rRNA from 1 species
AGAGCGAACGCUGGCGGCAGGCCUAACACAUGCAAGUCGAGCGCCCGUAGCAAUACGGGAGCGGCAGACGGGAUAGUAACACGUGGGAACGCGCCCUUCGGUUCGGAAUAACUCAGGGAAACUUGAGCUAAUACCGAAUACGCCCUUACGGGGAAAGAUUUAUUGCCGAAGGAACGGCCCGCGUCCGAUUAGCUAGUUGGUGAGGUAAUGGCUCACCAGGGCUACGAUCGGUAGCUGGUCUGAGAGGAUGACCAGCAUCACUGGGACUGAGACACGGCCCAGACUCCUACGGGAGGCAGCAGUGGGGAAUAUUGGACAAUUGGCGCAAGCCUGAUCCAGCCAUGCCGCGUGGAUGAUGAAGGCCUUAGGGUUGUAAAGUCCGUUUUAACGGGGAAGAUAAUGACGGUACCCGUAGAAUAAGCCCCGGCUAACUUCGUGCCAGCAGCCGAC